UGGGGAGUAGUGUAAUUGGUAACACGGUCGCCCUUGGAGCGACAGACUCUAGGUUCGAUCCCUAGCUCCCCAGCCA
rnacentral:tRNA from 1 species